GCCAGUGGUGAACUCCACAUCCGCAUCCUUUGCUGAGGAUACGGUUAACGGAGCGAAAGCGACGUUCAACCGCAAAACAAGCAGAGGGGGCUUAGUGGUGGGGUGACUGCGUACCUUUUGUAUAAUGGGUCAGCGACUUAUAUUCUGUAGCAAGGUUAACCGAAUAGGGGAGCCGGAGGGAAACCGAGUCUUAAUUGGGCGUUAAGUUGCAGGGUAUAGACCCGAAACCCGGUGAUCUAGCCAUGGGCAGGUUGAAGGUUGGGUAACACUAACUGGAGGACCGAACCGACUAAUGUUGAAAAAUUAGCGGAUGACCUGUGGCUGGGGGUGAAAGGCCAAUCAAACCGGGAGAUAGCUGGUUCUCCCCGAAAGCUAUUUAGGUAGCGCCUCGUGAAUUCAUCUCCGGGGGUAGAGCACUGUUUCGGCUAGGGGGCCAUCCCGGCUUACCAACCCGAUGCAAACUGCGAAUACCGGAGAAUGUUAUCACGGGAGACACACGGCGGGUGCUAACGUCCGUCGUGAAGAGGGAAACAACCCAGACCGCCAGCUAAGGUCCCAAAGUCAUGGUUAAGUGGGAAACGAUGUGGGAAGGCCCAGACAGCCAGGAUGUUGGCUUAGAAGCAGCCAUCAUUUAAAGAAAGCGUAAUAGCUCACUGGUCGAGUCGGCCUGCGCGGAAGAUGUAACGGGGCUAAACCAUGCACCGAAGCUGCGGCAGCGAACGUAUCACCCAAGACAACUUUACGGAGUUGACGAUUGACGGAGCGAAGCGACGUCAAAGCGUUCAUUAAAGUCGAGUUGGCUUAGGGAUACGUUCGUUGGGUAGGGGAGCGUUCUGUAAGCCUGUGAAGGUGUGUCGUGAGGCAUGCUGGAGGUAUCAGAAGUGCGAAUGCUGACAUAAGUAACGA
rnacentral:rRNA from 1 species